GACGUAGGGGGCCAGCGUUGUUCGGAAUUACUGGGUGUAAAGGGUUCGUAGGCGGUGCGGCAAGUUGGGAGUGAAAUCUCUGGGCUUAACCCAGAGGCUGCUUCCAAAACUGCUGUGCUCGAGUGUGGGAGAGGCGCGUGGAAUUGCAGGUGUAGCGGUGAAAUGCGUAGAUAUCUGCAGGAACACCCGUGGCGAAAGCGGCGCGCUGGACCACUACUGACGCUGAGGAACGAAAGCUAGGGGAGCAAACAGG
rnacentral:rRNA from 1 species